ensembl:lncRNA
CUGUGUUCACUAGAACAGCAACAAGCAGAGGACAGCAUCUUACAUCCUUCCCCACAAAAGGGUGUUAAAAGCAGCAGAUCCAGCUGGCAACAGGCAUGAAGAUGGCUGGCCUGGGCUGGAUGGCUGUGGUGCUGGCCUUCUUCCUGUCUCCUCCAAACAGUUUGGCUGCUGUGGACCAGACGUGGCUCACCAGUAUUGUAGAAGGCAUCAAAAAUGAGUAUGCACUUGGUGACGCCUUCAGUCUGGCUGUGAACAUCCCACAGAAUCAAGACCCAAACACUCUCAAGCAAGUCCUUCAAGCCGACCCAGCGGACAAAGUGAAAGAAACUGUUGCAAACAGUCAAGUGUACCAAGGCACCAGGGUGGUUGCAGCCACGCAGGCAGAUGCAGUGUCACGUGUUCUUGAGAACCUACAGCCGCUUAUACAAAGCAGUCAGGAUAAUGUCCUCAUAAUCUACUCUGAAGGAUCCCCAGAUGCAAAUGGUAUUGCUACCAAGAUUAAUGAUGUCACUCAGAAAUGGAGCAGUUAUGUCUUUGCCUUUUCUAAAGUAGUUGAUGUUCCUGAUGCUGACACAUCUCAGCUGGCUCAAUCCUUUAAACAACUUGACAUUUCCAAACUCGGGCUUGACAACAUAUUCCGUUGUUAUAAACCUGGAGAUGAUGCUUUUCAGUGCACCAGCUGCUCCUCAGGUGGAGAUGUUACACCCUCAUGUGUGACAAAUACAUCUCCAUCAACUCAAGAGCAAGAUGCAGGUGCAGAAACAAGUACAUCUGCACCAGGCACUGGAGUAGACACCGCAGUAGCCACUGGUGAAGGCAAUGCUGAAGGCACUGGUACAGGUGUUGGCGUAGGCACUGGUGAAGGCACUGGUCCAGUCGCUGGUGUAGGCACUGGUGAAGGCACUGGUACAGGUGCUGGUGUAGGCACUGGUGAAGGCACUGGUACAGGUGCUGGUGUAGGCACUGGUGAAGGCACUGGUACAGGUGCUGGUGUAGGCACUGGUGAAGGCACUGGUACAGGUGCUGGUGUAGGCACUGGUGAAGGCACUGGUGUAGGUGCUGGUGCUGGCAUAGGCACUGCUAUAAGCGCUGGCAGACAAAGACGAAAGGGGAAAGCUGGCCGACUUAGGAAGUGCAGAGGCCGUCGUAGACGAGGAUGCAAGCGUAGACGAGGUAGUAGAUGGAGAAAAGGUGGUAAGGUUAGAAAAUGGCCCAAGCGAAAGAGAGGGCGCAAGGGAAGAAAACGCGGUAAGCUUCGUAGAGGUCGUAAAGGUAGAAAAAGGGGCAAACGUAGAAGAGGUGGCAAACGUAAAAGAGGAGGCAAACGUAGAAGAGGUGGCAGGCGUAGAAAAGGAGGCAAACGUAGAAGAGGUGGGAAGCGUAGAAGAGGUGGCUGGCGUAGAGGCAGACGUAGGCAGUAGAAAACAGCAACAACUGUAAGUACCUCUAAGUCGGAGUAACAGCCCAAAUAAAUCUCUGCUUCAUAAAAGUGCAUUUAUUUCUUUUUUCUCUUCUCUGUUUCUCCGUCUUUUUAAUGAUAGUUGUCCAUUUUACUUUUUAACCAAUCAAAACCAUCCAUCCAUCAGACAGACAACCAAGCACAUUCACAUUCACACCUACGACCAAUUUAGAAUCACUAAUUAGCCUGGGCAUGUCUUUGGACUGUGGGAAGAAGCUGGAGAAGCCGGUGAGACCCCAUGCUGCACAAGGAGAACGUGCAAACUCCACCAAAAAGAUUUUAGGGAUUGUCUAGCUGUGAGGUGACAGUGCUAUCCACUGCAGCACCGUGCCGCCCACCACCAGCGAUAUUUUUCUGACUGUCAACAAAUCCCAUGAAAAUAUCAGUACCAACAAUGACUGAAGCCAGCAAGUUGGUGCUGUGUGUGAAUCGAAAGCCUGAUAUAUUUCGUUCCUCUCAGCCAUAGAGUUCCGUUGUGGUUGAAAAGCUAUUAGCAGACAGUGCGCUACAGUAUGUUUCUCAUGAGCACACACUGCAGUUUAUUUUAAAUUAGUCUUACUAACUAAAACACCAAAUGAAAACUAGCACACCAGAGCAAAACCACAAUGCUCACUACUUUUUUUUUAAUGAAACAAUAUAUGUUUGUAAAGGUUUUUGUUAUAUUUACAGUAAUUUUCUUGAUUUAGAAUCUACAUGGCAUACUUAAAGCAAAGGAAAAAUGGUUCAAUGUAAAUCCACAUCAAUAUUUACAGUACUUCUGUCAUAUUAUUCUGUAUGCAACAUGUUAUGCAACAUAUUAUGAAAUCAUCUGAUGUUCUAUUCUUUCUUAUUAAAGCUUGGCUCAGCAUCCA